rnacentral:ncRNA from 1 species
AAAAGGGUGAUGAAGGGGACCAGUAGGUUUAUCCUUUCCCUGCAGAGAGCUGGCGGCCGGUGGAAGCCAGCGGGAGGAUAGGCUGAAUCCCCCCCGGAACCGGCUCCGCAAACCGGGGGAACCGGGCAAAGGAGCACAGGAAGUCCUGUUACAGACGACCUGAGUGGAUACCGGAAGGAUCCGGUGUCAAUUUGGGUGGCAACGCGGGUAGCUACUCCCGUCCCAUUG